rnacentral:rRNA from 1 species
CGUGCUUAACACAUGCAAGUCGAACGGGAUCCCAGGAGCUUGCUCCUGGGUGAGAGUGGCGAACGGGUGAGUAAUGCGUGACCGACCUGCCCCAUACACCGGAAUAGCUCCUGGAAACGGGUGGUAAUGCCGGAUGCUCCAGUUGGAUGCAUGUCCUUCUGGGAAAGAUUCAUCGGUAUGGGAUGGGGUCGCGUCCUAUCAGCUUGAUGGCGGGGUAACGGCCCACCAUGGCUUCGACGGGUAGCCGGCCUGAGAGGGCGACCGGCCACAUUGGGACUGAGAUACGGCCCAGACUCCUACGGGAGGCAGCAGUGGGGAAUAUUGCACAAUGGGCGCAAGCCUGAUGCAGCGACGCCGCGUGCGGGAUGACGGCCUUCGGGUUGUAAACCGCUUUUGACUGGGAGCAAGCCCUUCGGGGUGAGUGUACCUUUCGAAUAAGCACCGGCUAACUACGUGCCAGCAGCCGCGGUAAUACGUAGGGUGCAAGCGUUAUCCGGAAUUAUUGGGCGUAAAGGGCUCGUAGGCGGUUCGUCGCGUCCGGUGUGAAAUCCAUCGCUUAACGGUGGAUCCGCGCCGGGUACGGGCGGGCUUGAGUGCGGUAGGGGAGACUGGAAUUCCCGGUGUAACGGUGGAAUGUGUAGAUAUCGGGAAGAACACCAAUGGCGAAGGCAGGUCUCUGGGCCGUCACUGACGCUGAGGAGCGAAAGCGUGGGGAGCGAACAGGAUUAGAUACCCUGGUAGUCCACGCCGUAAACGGUGGAUGCUGGAUGUGGGGACCAUUCCACGGUCUCCGUGUCGGAGCCAACGCGUUAAGCA